UUUCCAUAUUCUGAUCCUGUAAUUUCAUGGUGUACUAUUAAUUUCUUAUAUGCAGCCCGAAACUAAAUGCAUGAUGGAUUAUUAAAUCCACCAUGACUGCGGGUAGAAUUAAAAAAAUUCUCUAUGUGAUCCUGACAUAAUUUAUAAGUUAACAAAUAUUCCAAAUUAUAUAUAUUACUUAAGGGGAUACUAAUACUUACAGAUGAAACGAUAUGUCACUCUUUUUUUUAUAACGUCUUUUACUUUUAAAUAUAGCAAGUUGCUACCAUUAUAAAUAGUAACACGUCAAAUCAAUUUUAGGUUAUUUUUGGUAAAUAUUUGCGAAAUCAUAAGUAAAAGUUCCAAAUAGCGAUUUUUCCGGAUAGCGACUUGUCCAAAUUUUAAUUUCGAUUUUUUGCGAAAAAUAAUUAGUAUGCAAACAAAAUUUUAAAAAAUAUGCAAAAUCUAGCAAAUGGCUAGCAAUCGAAUAGCAUUUUUCAAAUUAUUGGAAAUGUUAGUACGACAGCUGACUUCAUACCGAUGAAGCAAAGAGAAUUCGACGUAGUUAGACGUGGUUCGACGCGCCCGCCGUACCCACUAAUAUCAAAGUUUAAAAAGAGAUAUAAAAAUGAGUUUUUGCGUUGUAUAUAAUUGCAAAAAUCGAAAACACAAGAACAAAAAAAAUAUUGAACAAUUAGAGAUGGAACGUGUUCUAAAUAGAAACAUUUCAUUUCAUUUGUUUCCUCAAGAUAUGGCAAUGCGCAAGAAAUGGCUCGAAGCCAUACAUUUACAAAAUUAUGAGCCAAAAAAAUCUGCUACAGUUUGUUCUGUUCAUUUUAAAGAAACGGAUUAUCAGUUUAAUCAUAAAUAUUGCAAAUUAAAAAAAGAUGCUGUUCCACAUGUAAAUACACAUUUACUUAAAACUGAAAUUCAACCUAAAUACACAAAUGUAGAUAAGCCUCGAGUUCAGACAAAUUUAGAUAAGCCUUUAAUUCAGAAAAAUUUACAUGAGCCUCCAAUUGAGAAAACUUCAAAUGUGCCUCCACUUCAGAUAGAUUCAGAUAAUCCGCCACCUCAGACAUAUUCAAAUUAUCCUCUUCUGCAGACAGUUUCAAGUAAUUUAGACCAUCAAAACAUUUCUAUUGAAGAAAAUAAAGCUGAUAAUACCAAUAAAAUGGUGCAUCGUUCGACUAGUAUAUCUCCUGAUAGAAUUAUGAAUUCACCAGUAAAAACUAGAAUUCGAAAAGUGUACAAAAAUGAAAUUAAACAUUUAAAAAGAAAACUAUCUAUAAGUCGGUAUAAGCAAAAAAGAACACAGAAAAAAUUAUGUGCAUUAAAGAAUAUAUUAAAGGAGCUGCAAAAACAGAAUCUACUAGCAGCAGAAGACAACGAUAUUUUACAACAUUUAAAAGCAGAAUCUUGAUUGUAACUUUGACAUAGAGUCAAAUAAUUUCCAAAGAUGGUUUAAACAUUCAAGUACGGACACCAAGGUCUCUGUCUUUUUGGAAGCAUGCCGUAUGCUAAAGUUGCUCGAGCGGAUCGAGCUCUUUCCUCGCUCUCAUUCGCAUAAUUUGAAAAAUUAAUACCUCGAUAUUGAUAGACCUACCCCAAGAACUAAUUAAAGACAAUAUUGUUGAUUCA
rnacentral:misc_RNA from 1 species